UUUAGCAAUGAACAAAUAUUUGAAUGAAUGUUCCAACAUUCACCCCAGCCCAACUAAUUAUUAUAGUGCUGUUUAAUUAUUUAAGUGUAGUAUCAUUGUUGUACCUCAACUACAGAAAAAGAGAAAAAUGUGUCUAACAGCAAUCAGCAAGUACUGAUUUCAUCUGAGGGGGAAAUCAAAGUGAAGAAGGAGCAGAGGAGGCAAUAAUAAAGAAAUGUCGCAGCCAUCUAAACACAUGUAUCCAUAUCAUGAAAGAUUUAUCAAACCAAUUUUAAUAAUAAUAUUCAGUUAAAUUAAUAGUAACUAAUAUUUAGUUAAA